rnacentral:rRNA from 1 species
GUGUCAGCAGCCGCGGUAACACGGGGGGAGCAAGCGUUGUUCGGAAUCACUGGGCGUAAAGGGCGUUCAGGCGGCCAAGUAAGUGGGACGUGAAAUCCCCCGGCUUACCCGGGGACCUGCGUCUCAUACUGCUAGGCUUGAGUAUGGGAGAGGAUGAGGGAAUUCCUGGUGUAGCGGUGAAAUGCGUAGAUAUCAGGAGGAACACCGGUGGCGAAAGCGCUCAUCUGGCCCAAUACUGACGCUAACGCGCGAAAGCUAGGGGAGCAAACGGGAUUAGAUACCCUCGUAGUCC